rnacentral:rRNA from 1 species
AGGACGAACGCUGGCGGCGCGCUUAACACAUGCAAGUCGAACGUGAAGCUGGAGCUUGCUCCGGUGGAAAGUGGCGAACGGGUGCGUAACACGUGAGCAACCUGCCCCGAAGACUGGGAUAACACCGGGAAACCGGUGCUAAUACCGGAUACCUUCUUCCGAUCGCAUGGUUGGAUGAAGAAAUGGAUUCCGCUUCGGGAUGGGCUCGCGGCCUAUCAGCUUGUUGGUGAGGUAACGGCCCACCAAGGCGACGACGGGUAGCUGGUCUGAGAGGACGACCAGCCACACUGGGACUGAGACACGGCCCAGACUCCUACGGGAGGCAGCAGUGGGGAAUCUUGCUCAAUGGGCGAAAGCCUGAAGCAGCGACGCCGCGUGCGGGAUGAAGGCCCUCGGGUUGUAAACCGCUUUCAGCAGGGACGAAAUUGACGGUACCUGCAGAAGAAGGCCCGGCCAACUACGCGCCAGCAGCCGCGGUAA